CUCUCCCCUUCUUAUUAGUGAUUUUUUGUUUGUCUUAAUUCUUUAUUAUAUUUUGACUUCUACAAUAUAUGAUCUACUGCUUUUGCUUUCAUGUUUGAUUGCUUGGUUUGCCUUGAUCAGUCAGCUUGCGGUCAUGGUCCACGCCGCUCUGUGUAUGUGUGACUGUUUUGGUGCUGCUGGCUGGCAAUCGCUCUCUUUUAGUGCUCUGUGUUCCUCCCCUCUGCACUCAUACGUUUCCUUCCUUUUUUCCUUUUUCUCCAGAGUGCGGCUCCGCUGAUUGGCCGGUGUCAUCAUAUGACACGGCUGCUUCAGCGCUAAGGAGUGUGGGAAUUGUAGGCAUCUCAGCGACCAUGUGACCUCUGAGAUCCAAUCGCGAUGCACCCGCCUCCCCAACAGGCUAUAUAUAGCAUGAUAUGAUCAUUAUCUGUCUGCUACCAACAGGGUACUGACAGAUGUCUUUAUUCCUCUUAAAGAUAGGAGAUUAUCUGUGGACUUUUCAGCUGCAAUUGACUGGUCCUUGAUUUUUGCUGCAAACGACUAUCCUUUGACUUUCUAUCACCAGCUGAUGUUUGCUUGCACUCAGACUGUUCAUCUAGUUAAAUACUCCAUAUGAAUUGAGGCUCUUCAGUGCCCAUGUUAUUGUCUUACUUAAUUCCCCUGUAUUCACCUUGAUUUUAUUACGCUUCAAGUCCUGUCAGUUGAACUUGGAUUUCAAUAUCCACCCUGAGGGGGUUUUUCCUUGACUGGCUGUGCAUGAAGCUAGGAGUAAUCUAGAGAGACGAUCUUGUCCUAAUUCCCCUGAAGAAGCCAAGAGGCGAAACUAGUAGGGUCGACCUGAUCGAAAAAAUUAUUUCUAGAUCUUGCUC